AGUCCCCAGCAUUCUCGGCACCCUGAAUCACAGUGUGACACUGGCUGUAGGCACCACAGAAGGGGCCCCAGGUCUGAAGACUCAGGGCGUAGGGAGAAAUCAAAGUGGAAUACGUGUCUGGCUUCACUUCUGUUAGAUGCUUGGUAUUGGGAGUUCUUCCUACAAUUCAUGAAGAAACUCCUGCUGCUCUUCCACGUACUUUAUCCUAGAAAGAGAACUUGUUCCACUGGCAGGAAAGACUUCUACUGGUGAAAGAAGGAGGUUUUCCCAGCUAGCCCCAUGUCUGUACUGCUGGGGAUUCAUCUCAACAUCUCCCAGCCUGAUUUUUCAUGCAAGAGAAGAAAGAAUACCUUCUCUAGAACCUCCUUUUGGGAAAAAGAGAAAGGAACCCACCUGUCUUUAUUUUAAAGGUCUGGAGAUUUGUUUCAACCUGCCCUUGUGAAUGGGUUGCCUGGUGUUUCAAAAAUCUCAAGGUAUUCAAUAAAGACGU